rnacentral:rRNA from 1 species
UGGGGAAUAUUGGACAAUGGGGGGAACCCUGAUCCAGCAAUGCCGCGUGUGUGAAGAAGGCCUGCGGGUUGUAAAGCACUUUAGUUGGGGAGGAAAGAGCGAAGGUGAAUAGCCUUUGAAGUGACGUUACCCAAAGAAUAAGCACCGGCUAACUCCGUGCCAGCAGCCGCGGUAAUACGGAGGGUGCGAGCGUUAAUCGGAAUUACUGGGCGUAAAGCGUGUGUAGGCGGUUAAUUAAGUCAGAUGUGAAAGCCCCGGGCUCAACCUGGGAACUGCAUUUGAUACUGGUUGACUAGAGUACGGUAGAGGGCAGUGGAAUUUCUGGUGUAGCGGUGAAAUGCGUAGAUAUCAGAAGGAACACCGAUGGCGAAGGCAGCUGCCUGGGCCGAAACUGACGCUGAGAUACGAAAGCGUGGGGAGCAAACA